UGUGUCUGAAGCCUGACGAGGAUGAGAACCUCCGGGGGCCGGGGGUAAGAGGUUCGACUUGAGCGAAGCGAGAGAACGUUGCGCCAGCAACGGCCCGCAGGGUGAGCCACGCAGUGGCGAGUCAUCCUCUAUCACCGACCA
rnacentral:sRNA from 1 species